GACGAACGCUGGCGGCGUGCCUAAUACAUGCAAGUUGAGCGAUGAAGCUUGGUGCUUGCACCAAUUUGAAGAGCAGCGAACGGGUGAGUAACGCGUGGGGAAUCUGCCUUUGAGCGGGGGACAACAUUUGGAAACGAAUGCUAAUACCGCAUAACAACUUUAAACAUAAGUUUUAAGUUUGAAAGAUGCAAUUGCAUCACUCAAAGAUGAUCCCGCGUUGUAUUAGCUAGUUGGUGAGGUAAAGGCUCACCAAGGCGAUGAUACAUAGCCGACCUGAGAGGGUAAUCGGCCACAUUGGGACUGAGACACGGCCCAAACUCCUACGGGAGGCAGCAGUAGGGAAUCUUCGGCAAUGGACGAAAGUCUGACCGAGCAACGCCGCGUGAGUGAAGAAGGUUUUCGGAUCGUAAAACUCUGUUGGUAGAGAAGAACGUUGGUGAGAGUGGAAAGCUCAUCAAGUGACGGUAACUACCCAGAAAGGGACGGCUAACUACGUG
rnacentral:rRNA from 1 species